rnacentral:rRNA from 1 species
AAACCAGCACCUCAAGUGGUCAGGAUGAUUAUUGGGCCUAAAGCAUCCGUAGCCUGCUCUGUAAGUUUUCGGUUAAAUCUGUACGCUCAACGUACAGGCUGCCGGGAAUACUGCAGAGCUAGGGAGUGGGAGGGGUAGACGGUACUCGGGAGGAAGUGGUAAAAUGCUUUGAUCUCUCGAUGACCACCUGUGGCGAAGGCGGUCUACCAGAACACGUCCGACGGUGAGGGACGAAAGCUGGGGGAGCAAACCGGAUUAGAAACCCGAGUAGUCC